rnacentral:tRNA from 1 species
GGGAUGUAGGUAAAUGAAUACCUGGAAAUUUUGGAUUUCCCAUUAAGAGUUCAAGUCUUUUCUUCCU